UAAUCUAUGGAUGCUGGAAUGCUCUAUAGUUGAAAGAUUUAUCGCCUUAGGAUGGGUCUGCGGCCGAUUAGGUAGUUGUUGGGGUAACGGCCCAACAAGCCUUUGAUCGGUACGGGUUGUGGGAGCAAGAGCCCGGAGAUGGAUUCUGAGACACGAAUCCAGGCCCUACGGGGCGCAGCAGGCGCGAAAACUUUACAAUGCGGGAAACCGUGAUAAGGGAACUCCGAGUGCCCGUAAACGCGGGCUGUCCAUCUGCCUAAAAAACAGGUGAAGAAAGGGCCGGGCAAGACCGGUGCCAGCCGCCGCGGUAAUACCGGCGGCUCGAGUGGUGGCCACUAUUACUGGGCUUAAAGCGUCCGUAGCUUGGUUGUUAAGUCUCUUGGGAAAUCUGUCGGCUUAACCGACAGGCGUUUAAAGGGAUACUGGCAACCUAGGGACCGGGAGAGGUGAGAGGUACUCCAGGGUAGGAGUGAAAUCCUGUAAUCCUUGGGGGACCACCUGUGGCGUAGGCGUCUCACCAGAACGGCUCGACAGUGAGGGACGAAAGCUGGGGGAGCAAACCGGAUUAGAUACCCGGGUAGUCCCAGCCGUAAACGAUGC
rnacentral:rRNA from 1 species